rnacentral:pre_miRNA from 1 species
AAAUUACUCCCUCCGUCCCAAAAUUCUUGUCUUUAAUUUGUCUAGAUACGGAUGUAUCAAGUCACAUUUUAGUAUUAGAUACAUCCGUAUCUAGACA